rnacentral:lncRNA from 1 species
GCAGCCUGUAGAAGCGCUUGUUUCGCCCCGUCACAUAGUAUUUUUAUAGAAUGGAGUGUGGCAUCAUCUGUUAGCAAAAAAAAAGUAUCGGUGGACGGAUUGGCCCAGUUUAUCCUUCCCGGAUCCGGGGUUCGGUGGAAAAUGUAGACGGGUCCUGGGUCCAUCCAUCCUUUCCGCCAAACUGACCGAAACUGUUAAGUGUAUUUCGGAAUAUCGUUAAUUAAUGGUGAAGGGAAUAACGGCCGCCAUCGAGCGCCCCUUAGCCAUUCGAUCCCCGUGGUAAAAUCGAGGUUAAAAGUAGCGAACCGUUUUCUUUUCCCUAUAGGGACCUUCGAAUGCUAUUUAAACUGCGUGGGAACAGUCAGAUUAAUCACUUAAGUUAACCAUAUAGUCUCUAUCGACUGUUUUCCAGCUAUAGCGGAUGAUAUCGGAUGCGACUAAUAAAGGUAGGGUUUAGUCCAGCCCAGGCAGUUAGUCUUAUUUAAUACAUUUUUAUGCGGUAAAUUUAAUACUGGAUUAAAUAUAGUACUCCUGUCGAAUUAAUAGGCGGAGCUUUAUUUGUCUCUAGGGUAUGAACGUUCUGUGGUCUUUCGGUGAGAAUUUUAAUUUUUGAAUAAGCGAUCUUUACGUGUCUUAAACUGCGUAGCUAGCCGGGAUAAAUAAUUCCAUUCUUGCGUCAUCUAUCUUUCGGCUACGGAGUUACGUAAUUUUACCCGACCCAACGAAUUAGCUACGGUAACCAUCCGUUACACGGAGUAGAGCCCCAUCUUCACCGAUAAAUAGAAACCUGGUUCGGAAGAACGAAGAACCGUAUCUGGACAGUAUAGAAAGGAAUAGGAAGAUACGGAGGCGCGUUAAUCGCUUCGUAGCUGGUUCAGGUGUUUUUACUUUCUUAUCGGUCCGUUUUCCGUACCGCCGUGACAGAAGGUGACAUCCGACAAUGGAACCUGAUCCUCCGAGCUGAAAUCCAUUGGCCACUACCGGGUAGACCGAGUGAGUGAAAUUUGUCCCGAUAGACGGCAGAAAGCUUGUCAACCCAUCGGCGUUUUAAACCGUAAGUGUGAUUCGAUAUGCCGUAUAGUUUAAUAAGUAAGCCCAGUUAGGGAAUUGUAGGGAAGACAAAGGUAGAGUAGGAGCAUAUACGCGCAUAAAAUUACGAUACCGGCGUGUAUGGCUACCUAUGUGGAAUAAAGAAAAUUAGGCGAGAAAUGUUUACUUCGGCCACCGUGACACCAGUUGGAAAGGAAGAAAACAACGCGAGUAACUAGGCUUAUUGUGUGAAACGGAUAACCGGGAUGUAAAUGAGUCUAUAGUCGGAAAUGUAGGAUGCCUCCGAGUUACGGCCAUAGUCGGAGUCAGCUGCGCUAGCUUUAUUUAUUAUCGUUUGAAUUUUAUUAUUACCGCAGCCGAUUCGGCGUUAUUCCCCGCGGUAGCGCGACUUAGUACCGUCGGGAACGAAGGAAAAUAACCCGCGGCCUUAUACUUUUUCCACCAACUAGUGGAGCUACGGAGGAAGCCACCAUAAUAAUUGCCAAUGUAAAAUAGAGGCACCAGUAAUGAUCGAUCGGGACUAAACGUGGUCGAUAGUGCGGCUUGUCGGGCCAUUCGGCGUCGCUUUCACCGCCGAUGCGAAGAAAAAUCGCCCCCGUGUCUGUCGUCCCUUAUCGACCCAACCGAUUUCUCUCCAAUAAAUAUAUUUAUUUUUAGAAAUUAAAAAUGUCAUCGAUUAGCAGGAUGGUCCCGAUGGCUUAACCAGUUCGACUACGACGGAAGCUCUCCAUUGGACUAACGCCCCACAAUUUCACUUUCAGUCUACCAGCAAAAAGCCCUUUCACGGAUAAAGUAGAAGCGCUCUAAUUUAUACCUAUUCGAUAUAGAAAUAGCGUCUAGUUGUUGGGCUAAAUUCCGAGUAAAAUAAUUCAGAUCGAUCUCCUCAUCCCUUCGUCGCUACCUUCUCGAUACUACUGGCCCUAGACCAGUGAUCUGGCCUAUAGAUAUCGGUCUCCGUCUAAUUCCGGCGCUGGGUCCUCUACGCGGAGCUACUUUGACAUAAUUUUGCCUGUCGGCCUCUCGACUUUAUUGGUUUUCCGGUAGAUCCCGACGUGGUCAUUUAGACACGAGAAAGUCGACAAGAUGGAUUCUUAUAGCACCGUCACCAGAUAAUUUUCUGUUGGUAUCGAAUAAGACGGAUAAGUUAGCAUCCGAGGAACGCUACCCUUCCUCCCAUUUUAGCUAGUGAUCAAAUACCGUAUCUAUUCAGAAACAAAACCAUUGAGCUACCGCGGAAGCGGUGGCUGGUUCCGACAGUAAAACCGAAAAUCCGGCUUUAUUCGGACCGGACGCUGUUCCAAAUGGCUCCAGAUCAGUGGUUCGGCUUUACGCUUUCGGAUAAUCGACUACGCCUUCUUCCGCAGCUCCAGUCCGUCUUUAUUAGAGUCGGUAUAGCUGGAAGACAGACGCGGAUGGUCUGUCGGUAAAACUAAUAUCUGCGAAGUAGACCAGAUCCUUUUUUCCUACGGCUCUCCUACCUCGGGGAAAAUGAGAAUAUCGUUGGGCGCUACCCGUAUGGUGGUCGAGAUGGGGAACCGAUGGCGGUCGACCACACCUGGCGCCUGGACCGGUUAAUUAGGUGGCGGAGUGGGCCAGUCAUAACUACCCCGCGUCACGUAGCGCCACUUAAGUCGCUGGCGGAUUCAAUCUUCCCACGCAAAUUUCUACCGUGGCGUGUCUACCCGCCGCUGGUCCGGGGUGUGGCCAUCGGCUUCUCUCAAAUUCUCUUUUUCCAGCGCUAGGAUUCCGUGGGUAGUUUUCUCAGUUAUCUAAAGUAGCGCUUUUUUUAUGGUUUCCCAUUGGAUGAAUACCAAAUGGCGCCAAUUCUCAAUGCCCCGUCAUCGGGCCCGGUCCCUCCCGAAAAACCCCGAAUUUUUUCGGAGAAAACGAGAAUGGAACCCGGAUUCUGCGGGAUGGAGGCUCAUAUUGUGUUCUCGACAUAAUCAAAAGAUUGUCCUCCGCUCAACUUGUAUAGGU